GAGUUUGAAAAGUUUCAGCCACAUUUUCAAGUCUUUCAAUUACCAUGAAUGCACAUGCUAUAUAUCAAUAGUCAAUACCAUAUACAAGAUAGCUAGAGCAAAUACCGAACAUAAAGUACAGUUAAUUCUUUGAACCAAGGGAAAAUUUUCAUUUUUUUAAAAGGAGGGUGGAAAAAUUUGAAGAGGCACCACUGAGCAAGCUUCAGCAGGGGUUACGUGUUGGUGUUAAAGAGUUUCACACAAAAUAGGAGGGG